rnacentral:misc_RNA from 1 species
UGAGUGAGACGGCAGACGAAAAGACGCCGCCGUGCUGCCGGCCUCCUCGCCUCCUCUCGCUUGUCUGAUUUGUCUUCGGCGUGCGCGCGCGCUCACGGCCGCACUACCCCUUCCCGACACUUUUUCUUUCGUCCCCCAUCCCAACCACGACUGACGACACACAGGCAGCUUCAUGGGGGGAGGGAGGGGCUACGUGCACAUCCGCAGCGUCAUGAAAAGCAGGGAGGAGUGUACAUCUGUGCCUCAAAUAACGCGGUCUGGCAUCAGACUUGAAAACGCGGACCUCAGUAGACAAUCGACUCACCGUCGUGCUCCGAAGGAGGCAUCGUUGCUCAUAGACACGCUCAUAGAGGCAAACGCAUAGAAUGAGCUCGCGAGUAGACGAAUCCGCCCUUACCAUCUCAUCCACCAAGGAGCUGGUAACGGCACACCCGGGGGCGUGCGCCGUGGUUUACCAGGCCGUCUGCGCGGAAGCCAUCCGCGUCGUUUUUGCCCUCUACGCGCUCUCGCAAUCGGGAGUGGCGGAGCUAGGAAAUGAGUUACGUCGCUGUCGAACGGCCAUGAGUGAACGCUGGCGCUCUCCCGUGGAAGUUGUACACCGCUUCGCGCCUCAAUGUCACGUCGGGAGCUCAUCGCUCUUUCAGCGCACGUCUUCGCAUGACGGCGCCCCUGCCAGACCCCAAAGCCAAGACAGCGGGGAACAGUUGCACGUGUUGUCCUCCUCCACUGAAGCCCGGGGAUGCAUCACCCACGCCUCCCUCUACGGCCUCCUCACGGCGGCACAUCUAUUGCGCUGCUCAACGUGGACGGCUGCGUCCCUCGUGCAGGGUGUCUGGAUAAAAGGGCAUUCAGCUCUGGCACAGGCACCGCAGCUACUCGCACAAGCCCGGGCCGCCGAAGAGCUGCGCACGCGCGAGUCUGGAUGGUGUGCGACCGCUCUCGUUCAGUUCACCGAAUGGCUGCUGCUCUCCCUUAGCCCCCACUUUCCCUCCUCCCUGAUGUCAACGCUGCCAUCGCGAGCGUUGAGUGUGGCAGAGAUAGAACGGACCGCCACAGACUGUCGCGACGUUGGCUUGGGAAUUUGGCCCCCUGUCCCUAGUGCUGCUGACGGGGCUCUACGUGACGACUCGAUGUCCGCGGCGCGCCAGCGCACGGUCUUCGUCGCUGAUCCUCUGCCGCUUUACUUUCCCUUCCUACUGAAUGGAAAGGAGUGCAGCCGAGCCUUCGCGCCAGCGCCGUGGCAACCUUCUCGCGUUGCAGACGCCCUUGAAAGCGGAUGUGCUCAUCGUUGGCUUCUAGAUGACCUGCCUCGUUGGUGUGCGCAGGUUGCGUUGGAGGAGCAGAGCAAGAGGUGGCACCGCACCUCUCUUCUAAGAAGCGCGCUGGAGCGGUGGCGUGCGCGGCGCGGCUUGCGGGUGGUAGCACAUCUCUCUUACGCAGCGGCGUCGGCUCGAGUGGAAGAGCCGCACUCGCCGGCAGUGGCAGCGGACUCCUUCAGUCCCCUUCCGCAGACAAGAGCGCCGCUUUACGCUGGGGUGCGAAAGGUGGUGGAAGGGGCGCUGUCAUCGCCUUUGGAGCUCGGCGAUGCCUUGGAAGCGGCUCCGUUGUCGUACACGAUCGCCACGCAGACAAUGGCAGGCACGCCGCGCAUCGACAAGGUCGAUAGCGGGAGUAGUGGAGAGCCUCCAGCACGGGGCUUCAGAGGGGUGCUGGCUGCCGACGUAUCGACGAUCGCAGAUGAUACAGCGCCGCCUCCAUCGAUCCCGAGUCAGGACACUCAGCGUGCAAGCUUGUCAGCUGCAGAGGUGUUCGCGUACACCGGCCGCGCAGACGCCGCCGCGAGUGCGUCAAAGACACGCCGACUCGACAGCGUAUUGCGUGGCGAGCUGGCGAUGCAAGAAUUGCCAUCACGCAACAUGGGUGUCGAGGAGCACACAAGCACCCUGAAUGAGGAAUGUGGCCAGAACCAACCUGAGCGUCAACGAAAGACCCCUCCGCAAAAGGGACGAGGCGGCGCUGAGGACGCUUUAGCUACCAGCACCCCAGCCUCGACCUCGUCCUCGAAGCGUGGCCCUUCAGCAGAUGCAAGCCGCUUCUCCGCCGCAUCCGAUCUUACAGCAAGCUCUGCACCCGCCCUCUCCGCCCGAGAAGCGAAGCAAGAAGAGCUGGCCCGCGUCAUGGUGCGGGGGCGCGAAAACACCGUCCUUCGACAGGCAUUUUUGCAUUGGCGUGAUCGCCGCUUGUACGAAGCUCUGGCAGCCCGCCUUAUACAGACACAGCAGCGGGAGUUGACGAGAGCGCGGUGCUGGGCUCAGUGGAGGUGUCGCCUAGCGGCGAUGCUGCAGCGUGAAAAGGAAAUGCGCGACGUCGCGCGUUGCGACGUCUACACGGAACAGAAGGCGCUCCAGUACUUUCGAGCGCUUCUGCGGCGCUGGAAGACGGCUGCCCUGGUGCGGCGGUUCCGCAUCUCCACAUCGGGGCAUCGCGUACUCCGGGCCUGGGAAUGUAGUACCCGCUUCUCACAAGCCCAGCGCGCCAUCCAGCAUCAGCUGAUUGGAGCACGCCGAGUGAAGUGGCAGGUCUGGACAAGGUGGCAGGAGCGCCGCCAGGAGUGCGUCGCCGAUCGUCACCGCGCCCGAAAGCAUGGCGCCGCGACUCUGUUGCUCAUGAGGGAUGCCUGUGUUCGCCGGCAGACGUCCCGGGUCGCCACGUCGCAGCGCAACACCAUCCUUCUCAAACGCGUACUGCAGCGGUGGGCGCUGCAAUGCGCGAUCGCCACACGAUUGAGAAGCUUCAUCGAAUCAAGACAGCCGCACAGAACUCUGGUUCGACAAGCGUGGCAGACUUGGCGAUCGCAGUGGCUGGAACGGCAGCUGCGGCGAGAGCAAGAGCACCGGCUUCGCGCGUUUCGAGUGGCACGACUGGCUGAAGUCUGCUUCGCCCGGUGGGUGCAACGAUGGCGGCGCGAGACGCACAUUCGGGCCUGCGUGGCGCGGCAGCAACGCCGCCACGUCCUCCGUCCCUUGUUUCUCAAGUGGCAGCAACGCAUGCAAGUGUGUUUCAUUGUGAGGCAGGCGCAAGAGGAACUGGCACUGAAGGUCAGCGAGCAACUUUGCGGGAGAAGAAUCCUGCGCACGUGGCGCCGAAGAGCUGUGCAGCACGCUGCAGGCCGUCGAGGACUUCUAGAAGCGUUAAUGAACGCAGAUGCAGAUCUUUUUUUGCGGCUCAACCGACUCGCGCGCACUUUUUACCACUGGCGUGCGCACGGCUUUGUGCUGCGGCGGUACCACCUGGACCGACGGCGUGGUCUGCCCAUCGCCGCCUACGGCGCCGCAGGGAUGAGAAGCGGCAGAGGGUGUGAGGCGGUGUUCAGCAUCGCGGGGCGCACCGGAGUCGGGCACCAUUCAGAAGCAGAUGUCGGCAAGGAAGACUGCGAGAACUUCGCUGAUCCGGCCACCACGCCACUGCUACCACCCCCUCCGAGCUCUGCAGCGUCUCCACCGGUGCCUCCUGGCCGCUCGCGACGAGGUCGCCUGGGGUAUGCCCGCCGCGCGCCCACACGCUCCGUGGUAUCUGUGCGAUCGCCGAAGAGGCUCCCAGCUUGCCGCAGCAACGCAACUUCCGUGCGCCAGAGCACCUCGGCGGCAGCAGCAGCUCGCCAUGAACCAACAAGCGCAUGGCGCGGUAGCAGGGAUGAAGAAGGUUGUGCGGCCGCCCUCGCUGCACCACAUGGCGGCCCGCGAGUCGUUCUCUGUAAGCAGCUCGCCGUCCCGCCUCGAAGACGCACCCUUGCUCUGCAGAGACAAUUGCUGGCGACGCAACUGCAACAGCGGCCUCUCUUCUCUCGGGAUGCCUGUGUGCGAGCCGGCGGAUGCAGCUCGCGAUCGACGCCACCACCUCGACCUGUGUUCUCCGAGCCCCCGUAUUCCACCUCCGCGUCCCCACGCAGAACAACACGUCCGAGGACACCACCGCCCUCCAGCACCCCCAACCAGCACUGGCACAGCAACCUGAGCGGCAGCGACACAGAAAGCCCAGGGCCGCGGCGAUCACGCACAGCGACUCCGCUAUUCACCGCGCGCGACGCUCGGUGUGCACUGCGGUCGCCCCGCAGCGCCGCCCUUGUCGAGUCACCUCACUCCUCACCUCCGCAGCCGCGACAAUCACACAGUGGCGCUCAUGUGCGCGGCAACAAUGAUUGCGCAACGCUCGGAUUGGGUUCUGCGUCUGCCAACUCCGCCCACCGUCUGCUCGGUCAGAUGGAGCAGCUGCUUCGGCGCAUCCGGAUCUUGGAGGCUGGGUACCCCGCCCAGGCAACCGCAGCUGUGUGAUGAGCAGGAGCCGGUCUUGCCCCGAAGACGAGCCCCCACACCGCCGUCGCAGCGGCGUGAGCCACAAAGCCUCCAAGAUGGACAGACUGUCGAUACUGAGGGCAGCAAGCGAGAAACGCGAGGAAG